GACAUUGAGAGAGAAAGGCUUUAGUAGUGCCAGUUCCGCUCGCUUUUGCAAGACGACAACUACGGAAAUAUCUGUCUCGAUAACACUACAAUUGCUCUAUACCGAGCAAAGAGAUGCUGAAAAUUGUGGACAUUUGUUAACUUGUAGCAAAGUGUGCAUUGAUAUAACAAUAUCGAUUUAAGGCGUGCGGCAGUUCAAUACAGAAGAACAUGGAGUCAUCACAAAAAAAAAAUUAGAAGACUACAAGAAUGUCUUCCCAAAAAAAUCGUAAUAGUGAAGUGAAGAAAUAAAAUAGAAAACGAGGAUUGCAUCAUUCAUUAGACAGAACGU